UGGGGAAUAUUGCACAAUGGGGGAAACCCUGAUGCAGCGACGCCGCGUGGAGGAAGAAGGUCUUCGGAUUGUAAACUCCUGUUGUUGAGGAAGAUAAUGACGGUACUCAACAAGGAAGUGACGGCUAACUACGUGCCAGCAGCCGCGGUAAAACGUAGGUCACAAGCGUUGUCCGGAAUUACUGGGUGUAAAGGGAGCGCAGGCGGACCGGCAAGUUGGAAGUGAAAACUAUGGGCUCAACCCAUAAAUUGCUUUCAAAACUGCUGGCCUUGAGUAGUGCAGAGGUAGGUGGAAUUCCCGGUGUAGCGGUGGAAUGCGUAGAUAUCGGGAGGAACACCAGUGGCGAAGGCGACCUACUGGGCACCAACUGACGCUGAGGCUCGAAAGCAUGGGUAGCAAACAGGAUUAGAUACCCUGGUAGUCCAUGCCGUAAACGAUGAUUACUAGGUGUUGGAGGAUUGACCCCUUCAGUGCCGCAGUUAACACAAUAAGUAAUCCACCUGGGGAGUACGACCGCAAGGUUGAAACUCAAAGGAAUUGACGGGGGCCCGCACAAGCAGCGGAGCAUGUUGUUUAAUUCGAAGCAACGCGAAGAACCUUACCAUGUCUUGACAUCGAGGAAAAGUUUCAGAGAUGAAAUGUGCCUUCGGGCAUCCGAAGACAGGUGGUGCAUGGUUGUCGUCAGCUCGUGUCGUGAGAUGUUGGGUUAAGUCCCGCAACGAGCGCAACCCUUAUGGUCAGUUACUAACGGGUAAAGCCGAGGACUCUGACAAGACUGCCGGGGACAACUCGGAGGAAGGUGGGGACGACGUCAAAUCAUCAUGCCCUUUAUGACUUGGGCUACACACGUACUACAAUGGCGUUAAACAAAGAGAAGCAAGACCGCGAGGUGGAGCAAAACUCAGAAACAACGUCCCAGUUCGGACUGCAGGCUGCAACUCGCCUGCACGAAGUCGGAAUUGCUAGUAAUCGUGGAUCAGCAUGCCACGGUGAAUACGUUCCC
rnacentral:rRNA from 1 species